GCCUGGGUGGCUCAGUUGCUUGAGUAUCUGACUUCUGUUCAGGUCAUGAUCUUGCAGUUCGUGAGUUCGAGCCCCGCAUCGGGCU
rnacentral:tRNA from 1 species